rnacentral:misc_RNA from 1 species
AACGCACGAGACCUGCGGACCUGCGGAGGGAUCAUUAAUGAGAAACUGCCCCUCGCGGGUAGAUCUCCCACCCUUUGUAAACUUACCUUUGUUGCUUUGGCAGGCCCGUCUCCGGACCGCCGGCUUCGGCUGGCCAGUGCCUGCCAGAGGAUUCUAAAACUCUGUCUGUCAGUGUUGUCUGAGUCUUUAUACAAUCGUUAAAACUUUUAACAACGGAUCUCUAGAUCGGAAGAGCACACG